rnacentral:rRNA from 1 species
UACGUAGGUGGCAAGCGUUGUUCGGAUUUACUGGGCGUAAAGCGCACGUAGGCGGAUCGAUCAGUCAGGGGUGAAAUCCCAGAGCUCAACUCUGGAACUGCCUUUGAUACUGUCGAUCUGGAGUAUGGAAGAGGUGAGUGGAAUUCCGAGUGUAGAGGUGAAAUUCGUAGAUAUUCGGAGGAACACCAGUGGCGAAGGCGGCUCACUGGUCCAUUACUGACGCUGAGGUGCGAAAGCGUGGGGAGCAAACAGG